rnacentral:rRNA from 1 species
AACGAACGCUGGCGGCAGGCUUAACACAUGCAAGUCGAACGGGCAUAGCAAUAUGUCAGUGGCAGACGGGUGAGUAACACGUGGGAAUAUCCCCUUCAGUUCGGAAUAACGUUGGGAAACUAACGCUAAUACCGGAUACGUCCGUGAGGAGAAAGAUUUAUCGCUGAAGGAUUAGCCCGCGUCUGAUUAGCUAGUUGGUGAGGUAAUGGCUCACCAAGGCGACGAUCAGUAGCUGGUCUGAGAGGAUGAUCAGCCACAUUGGGACUGAGACACGGCCCAAACUCCUACGGGAGGCAGCAGUGGGGAAUAUUGGACAAUGGGCGCAAGUCUGAUCCAGCCAUGCCGCGUGAGUGAUGAAGGCCUUCGGGUUGUAAGCUCUUUUGUCCGGGAAGAUAAUGACUGUACCGGAAGAAUAAGCCCCGGCAAACUUCGUGCCAGCCGCCGCGGUAA